rnacentral:rRNA from 1 species
GAUGAACGCUGGCGGCGUGCCUAAUACAUGCAAGUCGAGCGAACAGACGAGGAGCUUGCUCCUUUGACGUUAGCGGCGGACGGGUGAGUAACACGUGUAUACCCUCCCUAUCAGACUGGGAUAACUUCGGGAAACCGGAGCUAAUCCCGUAUAACCUGUUGAUCCGUAUUGUGCAACAGUGAAUGACGGUCUUGCUGUCACUUCUAGCUGGAUCUCGGCCGCAUUAGCUAGUUGUUAAGGUAACGGCUUACCAAGGCAACGAUGCGUAGCCGACGUGACAGAGGGAUAGGCGACACGGGAGCUGGAACAGGGACAAGACGACUAAGAGAGGCAGCAGAAGGGAAUGGGCCGCAGUGGGCGAGAGCAUGACGGAGCAGGGCGGAGUGAGUGAAGAAGGUCUUCGGAGCGUAAAACUCGGUUAUUAGGGAAGAACAGAUGUGGAAGGAACUAAGCAGGUAGUGACGGUAACUAAUCAGAAAGCCACGGCUAACUACGUG